rnacentral:rRNA from 1 species
GACGAACGCUGGCGGCGCGCCUAACACAUGCAAGUCGAGCGAUGAAAUUUUAACCGAUCUCUUCGGAGAGAAGAUAAAAUGGAUUAGCGGCGGACGGGGGAGUAACACGUGAGAAACCUGCCUUUCACAAGGGGAUAGCCUCGGGAAACCGGGAUUAAUACCCUAUGACACAUUUCCUUCGCAUGGAAGAAAUGUUAAAACUCCCGUGGUGAAAGAUGGUCUCGCGCCUGAUUAGCUAGUUGGUGGGGUAACGGCCCACCAAGGCCAUGAUCAGUAACCGGCCUGGGAGGGUGAACGGUCACAUUGGAACUGAGACACGGUCCAAACUCCUACGGGAGGCAGCAGUGGGGAAUAUUGCACAAUGGAGGAAACUCUGAUGCAGCGACGCCGCGUGAGCGAUGAAGGCUUUCGAGUCGUAAAGCUCUGUCCUAUGGGAAGAUAAUGACGGUACCAUAGGAGGAAGCCCCGGCUAACUACGUG